UACGGGGGGGGCAAGCGUUGUUCGGAAUUACUGGGCGUAAAGGGCUCGUAGGCGGCCAACUAAGUCAGACGUGAAAUCCCCAGGCUCAACCUGGGAACUGCGUCUGAUACUGAUUGGCUUGAAUCCGGGAGAGGGAUGCAGAAUUCCAGGUGUAGCAGUGAAAUGCGUAGAUAUCGAGAGGAACACCAGUGGCGAAGGCGAGUCCCUGGACAACUCCUGACGCUGAGGCACGAAAGCUAGGGGAGCAAACAGG
rnacentral:rRNA from 1 species